AUUGAACGCUGGCGGCAUGCCUUACACAUGCAAGUCGAACGGCAGCACGGGAGCAAUCCUGGAGGCGAGUGGCGAACGGGUGAGUAAUACAUCGGAACGUGCCCAAUCGUGGGGGAUAACGCAGCGAAAGCUGUGCUAAUACCGCAUACGAUCUACGGAUGAAAGCAGGGGACCGCAAGGCCUUGCGCGAAUGAAGCGGCCGAUGGCAGAUUAGGUAGUUGGUGGGGUAAAGGCUCACCAAGCCAACGAUCUGUAGCUGGUCUGAGAGGACGACCAGCCACACUGGGACUGAGACACGGCCCAGACUCCUACGGGAGGCAGCAGUGGGGAAUUUUGGACAAUGGGCGCAAGCCUGAUCCAGCCAUGCCGCGUGCAGGAUGAAGGCCUUCGGGUUGUAAACUGCUUUUGUACGGAACGAAACGGCCUUUUCUAAUAAAGAGGGCUAAUGACGGUACCGUAAGAAUAAGCACCGGCUAACUACGUG
rnacentral:rRNA from 1 species